UAAUACGAAGGGGGCUAGCGUUGCUCGGAAUCACUGGGCGUAAAGGGCGCGUAGGCGGCCAUUCAAGUCGGGGGUGAAAGCCUGUGGCUCAACCACAGAAUUGCCUUCGAUACUGUUUGGCUUGAGUUUGGUAGAGGUUGGUGGAACUGCGAGUGUAGAGGUGAAAUUCGUAGAUAUUCGCAAGAACACCAGUGGCGAAGGCGGCCAACUGGACCAACACUGACGCUGAGGCGCGAAAGCGUGGGGAGCAAACAGGA
rnacentral:rRNA from 1 species